rnacentral:rRNA from 1 species
GAAGAUUCCGGACUGUGGCACGCGUGCUUCACGGCGCUCCUGCCGUGGGAAGUUAUCUAAACCUCAACAUUUAGAGGAAGGUGAAGUCGUAACAAGGUUUCCGUAGGUGAACCUGCGGAAGGAUCAUU